AACGCACAUUGCGCCCGGUGGUAUUCCACCGGGCAUGCCUGUUCGAGCGUCAUUUCAACCCUCAAGAGUAAAAUCUUGGUGUUGGAGGAAGUCCUGUAAAAGGGUCCCCUCUGAAAUUUAGUGGCGGGCUCGCUAGAAUUUUGAGCGUAGUAAUUUUACCUCGUUUUUAAAGACUAGUGGGACUUCUUGCCGUAAAACCCCCAACUUUCUGAAAUUUGACCUCGGAUCAGGUAGGAAUAGCCGCUGAACUUAA
rnacentral:misc_RNA from 1 species